rnacentral:rRNA from 1 species
UAAGGAAUAUUGGACAAUGGGCGAAAGCCUGAUCCAGCCAUGCCGCGUGAGUGAAGAAGGCCUUAGGGUUGUAAAGCUCUUUUACCCGGGAAGAUAAUGACGGUACCGGGAGAAUAAGCUCCGGCUAACUUCGUG